ensembl:lncRNA
CAUCACUAGUCGGCACGUCUGGUAGCGUCUCUGGCUGCUGUUGACCUUGUUUUUGGAGUAAAACACGGUGGAAGCUGAAUUAGUGAGGAUGACUCCUGCUCCUGUCAUCUCUAAGCUCCUCACACAUCUUUACCUGCACAUGAGGAAAAUCACUCCUGUAGAAUGCAGAUGUUCAGAGGGAGAUGAUGCCACAUCUGGUCCAGCUGAUGGAAGGUCUUGAAGUUCUCUGACUGGCCUCGACUGAAGAUGGUCGUCUCACUGGAUUUAAGAUGCACAAUGAGGGACGUCUGCAGAGACUGAGAAAGAGUCUCACCACAUCCUGACAUGAGGAAAAAGACUUUAUUGAAGACUGCAAUGAGAAAAACUAUCAGACAGCAGACGGCUGCAUUCAAGUCUGUAGCUGCUGAAUUCAUGGAUGAAUCAUCUGGCACUAGAGAGGAAGACCAUCAAACAUCCACGUCAGCUGAUGGAGGUCCAAGAGUCUCACCCAACAAACAACCUACAGAGUGAAGACCUCCAAUCUGAUUGGACGGCCUCCUAUUCAGCCACGUUUUAGGCUGUUAGAUUGUUCCAGAUAAGACAAGUACAAGAUUCUUCAGAGCCGUUCUACCACGAGCCUGACAGGAAGAACUCCAACAGCUACUGAAUGUUCCUGUGGUUCCCUCAAGGCUACAGGAGGAGCCCUACGAGGACGAGCUGGUCCACCUGAUGGAGGCCAGUCGCUGCGGUUCAAAGCCAACACCGACUACGUGGACUUCUACUGGACCACACGGAGGCCUUCAAAAUGGACCAACAAGUUCAGCGACUCCCCGACUCGUGGGUCUGAGGACGCCGCCGAGCCUCGGUCCAGCCGGCCUCCUGUCUGUGGGUGUUUGAGUGCUGAGAGGUUUAUGGAUCCAUGUGAACGUUCUGUGUUGAAACAGCAGCUUUGGACUCAGUAACGCCGGGAAAAACCAAGAGCUCCUUUAUUUGUGACUUCCACUAAAAAAA